rnacentral:misc_RNA from 1 species
UUAGGUUGAAUUACCAAAUCUUGCAUUGCUUUCUCAGUUUCCUGGAGGAGUCUGGAAGAAUUAUCAACAUUCACUUGAGUAGAACCAUCCACAGGUUGAUGGGAUUGUCCAUCAGUGCGCAUCCCAUCAAAGAAUCCUUGUUCUUCUUCAGAAAUUUGUUGAAUUACGAAAUUGGUUUCUUCUUUCCUUGAGCUUCUUUCAAACUCAUCAUUUGGCAUCCCAACCUC